rnacentral:rRNA from 1 species
AUUUAAAGUGGUACGCGAGCUGGGUUUAGAACGUCGUGAGACAGUUCGGUCCCUAUCUGCCGUGGGCGCUGGAGAAUUGAGGGGGGCUGCUCCCAGUACGAGAGGACCGGAGUGGACGCAUCACUGGUGUUCGGGUUGUCAUGCCAAUGGCACUGCCCGGUAGCUAAAUGCGGAAGAGAUAAGUGCUGAAAGCAUCUAAGCAUGAAGCCCCCCUCAAGAUGAGAUUUCCCAACUUCGGUUAUAAGAUCCCUCGAAGAUGACGAGGUUAAUAGGUUCGAGGUGGAAGCGUGGUGACACGUGGAGCUGACGAAUACUAAUCGAUCGAAGACUUAAUCAA